GCACAGUGCUGACAACGUAACUGACGCCGACGCCGUGUUCAGCCAAUCGACGUGCUCGAUUACCGGUAUAUACUUAAUAAUCUUAACAGUGCUUACCACACCCAUACGCCAAAGCAGGCUGUACACCGGCACACCGCCGGCUUCCUCACAGUGUUGAAGUGAUCAUGCGUCUACAUGGGGACGAGCUGAUAGAGUGAUGCCGAGUGAGAGAGAAAACCACUGCAAUGUCGACGCACACUCCCACUGCGCAGCUGUAGCGGUGGCGGCAAAAUGAAACCGAACACGAUAGAUAUUUACCGCCACCGAAGCGCACCGCCAUGUUGAAACGUUUAAAACGCACAAAAAAUAUACUGAAGUUGAAAAUCGAAGCAUUACUUCAUUUACUUCGAUUCCUUUCGUCAACACUGACGCAGAAAAAUAUUUUUUUAAAAAAACACACUACGUAAAUACAUAAUCAAUGUCAAUAUUCAUCAUCUCUCCUCGCCAAAUUGUAUGCAUUUUGUCAAUAUUUAAACAUUAAAUGCUUAUAAGAAAAUUGUGA